rnacentral:rRNA from 1 species
UGAUGACGGGUAACUCAGACGAUUACCGGUACACUCAGAUGGGUUGCCGGUGGGAUUGCCGCUUCGACGGUUGAUUGCAGAGUCCCAUCCGAGGGAGAGAGAUGGUGGGCAGGUUGUCGUCAGCUCGUGUCGGCAGAUGGUGGGGUAAGUCCCGCAACGAGCGCAACCCUUGAUCUUAGUUGCCAGCAUUCAGUUGGGCAUCUAAGGUUCUGCCGGGUGACAAACGGGAGUAACGUGGGAAUGACCACCAAUCAUCAUGCCCCUAAGAACAAGGGCUACACACGUGCUACAAAGGACAGAACAAAGGGCAGCGAAACCGCGACGUUAAGCCAUGCACCACACUGUUGUUCUCAGUUCGAAUCGCAGUCUGCAACUCGAGUGCGGUGAAGAUGGAAUCGCUAGCUGUCGCGGAUCAGCAUGCCGCUUCGAAUACGUUCCCGGCUCUAGUACACACCGCCCCGUACCCGUCAAUUCAUUUGAGUUUACCGUCAAUUCAUUUGAGUUUACCGUCAAUUCAUUUGAGUUUACCGUCAAUUCAUUUCGAGUUUACCGUCAAUUCUAUUCGAGUUUUAUCCGU